GAUGAAGAACGUAGCGAAAUGCGAUAACUAAUGUGAAUUGCAGAAUUCCGUGAAUCAUCGAGUCUUUGAACGCACAUUGCGCCCCCUGGUAUUCCGGGGGGCAUGCCUGUCCGAGCGUCAUUGCUGCCCAUCAAGCACGGCUUGUGUGUUGGGUCCUCGUCCCCCCCGGGGGACGUGCCCGAAAGGCAGCGGCGGCACCGCGUCCGGUCCUCGAGCGUAUGGGGCUUUGUCACCCGCUCUGCAGGCCCGGCCGGCGCUGGCCGACGCGAAAGCAACCAUUUUUUCUCCAGGUUGACCUCGGAUCAGGUAGGGAUACCCGCUGAACUUAAGCAUAUCAAUUAGCGGAGGA
rnacentral:misc_RNA from 1 species